rnacentral:lncRNA from 1 species
ACUUGUUCUUGAAAAAGCUUUGAAAAAGCUUUGUAUUUUGCCGGUUCUAUAAACUUAUAGUAAAGCGACUGUUUUCUCAAAAACUUUCUAAGCAUUUUAUUAUCGACGCACAAAACCAAACUACUUCUCAAAGGCUUAGUACUUGCAGGUUAUAUAACUUAUACGCCACCUAUUUCAUAUUAAGUGUUAUUUUAAAUUUUAAUUUUUUUUUAUUUUACAUUUUCAAUGCAUUUAUUUUAUGAAUUUUCUAAUUUACCUUUAAGCUUUUAAAUUAUUAGUUAACAAAACAAAACAAAAUAAUAUAUUAAGUAGAAGUAAAACAGAAAAUUAAUGGUUUGUUUAUCUGUGAAAAAAAUUAAAAUGAUAAUUUUGUGAAACAAAAGAAAAAAUAAACAAUAUUAACAGUUUGUAAAAUAAUAUUUAC